AGAGUUUGAUCCUGGCUCAGAAUCAACGCUGGCGGCGUGCCUAACACAUGCAAGUCGAACGAGAAAGUGGAGCAAUCCAUGAGUAAAGUGGCGCACGGGUGAGUAACACGUGACUAACCUACCCUGGAGAGGGGGAUAACUGAGGGAAACCUUAGCUAAUACCGCAUAACACCUACGGGUCAAAGGAGCAAUUCGCUUUGGGAGGGGGUCGCGGCAGAUUAGCUAGUUGGCGGGGUAAUGGCCCACCAAGGCAGUGAUCUGUAUCCGGCCUGAGAGGGCGCACGGACACACUGGAACUGAAACACGGUCCAGACUCCUACGGGAGGCAGCAGUGGGGAAUUUUGCGCAAUGGGGGAAACCCUGACGCAGCAACGCCGCGUGGAGGAUGAAGUAUCUCGGUACGUAAACUCCUUUCGAUGGGGAAGAUGAUGACGGUACCCAUAGAAGAAGCC
rnacentral:rRNA from 1 species